rnacentral:rRNA from 1 species
CCCGAGACGAACUGCCGCGAAAGCAUUCGGCAAGGACGCUUUCAUUAAUCAAGAACGAAAGUCGGGGGAUCGAAGACGAUCAGAUACCGUCGUAGUCCCGACCGUAAACGAUGCCGACCGAGGGCCCGGAGGAGUUACGUACGACCCUCCGGGCCCUCCCGCGAGAAAUCAGGAGUAUUCGGGUUCCGGGGGAGUAUGGUCGCAAGGCCGAAACUUAAAGGAAUUGACGGAAGGGCACCACCAGGAGUGGAAUCUGCGGCUUAAUUUGACCCAACGCGGGAAAACUCACCAGGUCAGGACACGGUAAGGAUUGACGGACUGAAGGCUCUUUCUCGAUUCCGUGGAAAGUGGUGCAUGGCCGUUUUUGGUUGGUGGAUCGAUCCGUCUGGUUAAUUCCGUUAACGAACGAGACCUCGGCACUCCGAAUAGCGCGGCGGACGUCGCGGCCUCCGGGCCGUCUUCCGCACGAGCUUCUUAGAGGGACCGUCCCCCGCCGGGGAAGGAGGUGCGAGGCAACGACAGGUCUGUGAUGCCCUUAGAUGUUCUGGGCCGCACGCGCAUUACACUGACGCGUCCAACGGG